UUGAAAUUAUUGACAAGCAUAUGAGUUCUGGCCUAAAUUACUUGUGCACAAAAUAAAACAACGACUAACCAAAAUGACUCAAUGUCGAAUCCGCAUGAGAAAGCUUGAAUUGAAAGUGAGGGAAAAGAUAAUGACAGUGCCCAGAAAGGAGAAGAGAGAAGCUAGGAGGGAGGAAAAAGCUGAAAAGGCUG